AGGACGAACGCUGGCGGGCGUGCCUAAUACAUGCAAGUCGAACGGUCUUUCUAUGGAAGCUUGCUUCCACUGAGAAGAUAGUGGCGAACGGGUGAGUAACACGUGGGUAACCUGCCCAUAAGAGGGGGGAUAACAUCCGGAAACGGGUGCUAAUACCGCAUAGUUUUCUUGAUCGCAUGAUCGGGAAAGGAAAGACGGCCUUUGUGCUGUCGCUUAUGGAUGGACCCGCGGCGUAUUAGUUAGUUGGUGAGGUAACGGCUCACCAAGACGAUGAUACGUAGCCGACCUGAGAGGGUGAUCGGCCACAUUGGGACUGAGACACGGCCCAAACUCCUACGGGAGGCAGCAGUAGGGAAUCUUCCGCAAUGGACGAAAGUCUGACGGAGCAACGCCGCGUGAGUGAAGAAAAGGUUUUCGGAUCGUAAAACUCUGUUGUCAGAGAAGAACAAGUUGGAGAGUAACUGCUCCAGCCUUGACGGUAUCUGACCAGAAAGCCACGGCUAACUACGUGCCAGCCGCUGC
rnacentral:rRNA from 1 species